UUUUAUAUAAUUGACAUUACUUUUCCAAAAAUAACAAAUCUUAUUAUCUUUUUAAAUACUCUUUAUUCAUUGUAGCAUACUGAUGUGAUGAAAAACAAAACUUCAAAAAGAUAAUUUUUGUUUUAGUUUAAAAAAGUAUAUUUCCAAAUCGAGCGUACUUGGUACCGAUAAAAACAGCUUCGUUUGUCAACGAUCAUAGACAUGGUUUACAGUAUAUUGGGUUCAAGCGUUAGGACAGAUACUAUUUGAUGGAACUAACCUGCACUUGCGUUACAAUAGAGGAAAACCAAAAGAACCUCUCACGGUCAGCCCGACUAUAAGGGGAUGCUAUCCUAUGAUCCAUCAGAGGAUAUUUUACGUCAUCACUGUGGUCAGUCAGAGAUGGUUGUGAAUCAGCCAGCCUUCGUUGAGAUUCGAAUCUCUCUCACUUUUCUCCAUACCCUGAGAAAUCACAGCUUAUGUACAGCCUUUAUUAUGAAUAUUAUUUGUUAUGAAUAGUAUGGAUACACGAGUUCACGUCCUUUUGUGUAGAAGAACUAUGAAGGAAAUGAUGAUGAAAGAGCUCUCGUACUGUAUCUAUGAUAUGUAACAGCCAUGGAGAAGUAUGCAAGAGAUUUUCCAUUCUAUCGCUGGAGGACUUAAAAAAAGUGAUGCAGUUUUGUUUCAAAGCAUGGCAAAAUGUUAAUCCUUUGAGACCAAAUGAAAACAGCACCCCACUGAAUCAGUAGGUGUAACAAUUUGUUACUUAACUAUUUGUUAACUAUUGAGAUAAGAGACUUCAGAUAAUUAAUAUAUAGAUGUUAUUGGUUUGACGUUACAUGAAUUUACACAAGCCAGCCUCAAUAAUUUUAAUAAAAAGUAAUAAAAAAAGUUUUAACUUUAGAAGUAUAAAUAUAAAUGUAACAUUGACAAAAAUACACAGAAAUUAACAUGGGCAGAAUAGGUGCAUUUACUAUGUUGUAGGUACAAUAACUAUUGUUGAAACACUGUUGCUGCUCAAAGGCUCUGAUUUUAUUAGAGCUAGUAUUAGUCUGAGUAGGUACUGAGGGUGUACAGUAUUGGUU